GUCUAUUUGUAGGUAUAGAAAGUCUGGCCUGCCCACUGAUAUUAUUAAAGGGCCGCGGUAAUUUGACCGUGCAAAGGUAGCAUAAUCGUUAGUUCCUUAAUUGGGAUCUUGUAUGAAUGGUUGGACAAAAGAAUGACUGUCUCUAUGCUUUUAUUGAAUUUAACUUUUAAGUGAAAAGGCUUAAAUACUUUAGAAAGACGAUAAGACCCUGUAAAGCUUAAUAAGUCAGAGUAUUUAGCUGAUUUAAUGGAUAAAAGUUUAAUGCAAGGGGCUUAUUUUGUUGGGGCGACAAUGAUAAAAUGUUUGUUAACUGUUUAUAAUAAAAGACAAGAUUUUAUGUUUGAAGAGUAAAUAAAUGAUCCUUUAAUUAAGAUUAAAAGUUUAAGUUACUUCAGGGAUAACAGCGUUAUUUUUUUUGAGAGUUCAUAUCGAAAAAAAAGUUUGCGACCUCGAUGUUGAAUUAAAAUUUCUAUAUAGUUGCAGCAGCUAUAUGAGAAGGUCUGUUCGACCUUUAAAUUUUU
rnacentral:rRNA from 1 species